rnacentral:sRNA from 2 species
AGAUAUCACUCUUACAGUCCGGUUCCUGCGCGCCGGCCACGCCUACCUGACGACUGCUCGCCACAUGUUGUCAGUC